rnacentral:rRNA from 1 species
UACGUAGGGGGCAAGCGUUAUCCGGAUUUACUGGGUGUAAAGGGAGCGUAGACGGCGCUGCAAGUCUGAAGUGAAAGCCCGGGGCUCAACCCCGGGACUGCUUUGGAAACUGUUUAACUGGAGUGCUGGAGAGGUAAGCGGAAUUCCUAGUGUAGCGGUGAAAUGCGUAGAUAUUUGGAGGAACACCGGUGGCGAAGGCGGCUUACUGGACGACAACUGACGGUGAGGCGCGAAAGCGUGGGGAGCAAACAGG